CUCUAUCUUGCCCCCCACCACCAGGCUUUACCCAGGCAUCCUGCCAGCCACCACCAGGCUUUGCCCAGGCAUCCUGCCCCCCACCACCAGGCUUUCCCCCGGCAUCUUGCCACCCACCACUCACUAUCGCGGAUCAUAUCUGCACUCUAAUUCAGAGCAUCACUGCCAGAUCCAACAACAUCGUCAACAAGGAGCUGGAGAAGUGUAUCGACUCUUAUAGUAAGAGCAUCUGGGCUGACACUUUCUACUGUGAGUACAUGAAGAUGUACCCAUCACCCCAGGGGAUUGAAGCCUUCUCAUUUGAUGAGGAGAGAUUUUUAGUGGUGGCCAACAUAAAUCGGCAGAAUAUUGCUGAACAAUCUCCAGCUAGAGAUGCUCCUCUCAGUGGAAGACUUUAAUGUGGAUGAAGUAGGGAGCAGUGGGGUAAGCAACGAUCACAAGUGUUUAUCCUUAUGAAAGUCCACUCAUUCAAUAUUCUCUGAUAAAAAUACAACUAAAUGUUGGUAAAGAGGAGAUAUGAAAUCUAACAAAUGUUCUGUUAAAUAUUGUGUCCUUGUUGCUUUCAGUCUGUGGACUUGAUCCGGGCAAUCCCAGAGACCCCUAACCCUGUCAAAGUGGUAGACAUCACAACACCUAUGACCACUAAUCCAGUCAACCUUGAGGUUUUGGAUGAAACACUUGUCCUUCAGUCAGGCUUUGCCCCGGCACCCUGCAUUCCACCCCCAGGAUUUUCCCCAGCACCCUGCAUUCCACCCUCAGGCUUUGCCCUGACAUCCUGCACCGCAUCGCCAAGCUUCGCCGCUAAUGCCAUGCAGGGCUUUGGCACGAAAAUCAUCCUGAAACAAAUGGUCCUGCUAUUCUUGGAGAGGCACCCUCCUACAUCAGACGACCUUGAGUCAGAGUUCCUCACUAUUGCCGAUCAUAUCUGCACGCUGUUUCAAAGCAUCACUGCCAGAUUCCGCAACAUCGUUAAUGAGGAGCUGGAGAAGUGUACCGACUCUGACAGUAAGCAGUACUGGGCUUACACCUUCAACUGGGAGUACAUGAAGAGGUGCCCAUCAUCCCAGUGCCUGGGGAUUGAAGCCUUCACAUGUGAUGAGGAGAGAUGUUUAGUGGUGGCCACCUUGUUUGCAAAGAAAUUGUAACCCAAGAUGUUCCUCUCAGCAGCAGACGUCGACGAGGCUGAAGAUUCAGGGAGCAAUGGAGUAAGCGAUGGUUUUAAGUGUUUAUCUUAUUAAAGUCCACUCUUUAAGUUGUCUCUGAUCCAAAAAUGUAUUGUUGUCAAUAUUGGUCAAUUGUAAAAAAAUAAAAAAUAAAUAGAACAUCUGCAAUGUUGCAAAUGUUAUGUUAAAUAAUAUCUAUAUUAAAUAUUUCAUAUUUUUGCUUUCAGUCUGUGGACAUGAACCUGGCAAUCGCCGACAAAUUUGUCCCUAACCCUGUCAAGGUGUUGGAGUUGCUUCAACCCCUGUCACUUCCAGACAUCAAAAAGCCCUUGACCACUAUCCAUGACAAAGUGCUGGACAACACAACAACAACCCUGGUUGAUGCCCCAGUUAAGGUGGACAACAUCACAACACCCCUGGUUGAUUCCCCAGUUAAGGUGGACAACAUCACAACACCCCUGGUUGAUGCCCCAGUUAAGGUAGACAACAUCACAACACCCCUGGUUGAUGCCCCAGCUAAGAGGUGGAUAACAUCACAACACCCCUGGUUGAUGCCCCAGCUAAGAGGAGGAUAACAUCACAACAUCCCCUGGUUAAUGCCCCAGCUAAGG
rnacentral:lncRNA from 13 species